UCUUCGGCAAUGGACGCAAGUCUGACCGAGCAACGCCGCGUGAGUGAAGAAGGUCUUCGGAUUGUAAACUGUUGUCGCAAGGGAAGAAGACAGUGACGGUACCUUGUGAGAAAGUCACGGCUAACUACGUGCCAGCAGCCGCGGUAAUACGUAGGUGACAAGCGUUGUCCGGAUUUACUGGGUGUAAAGGGCGUGCAGGCGGGAUAGCAAGUCAGUCGUGAAAUGCCGAGGCUUAACCUCGGAGCUGCGAUUGAAACUGUUAUUCUUGAGUAUCGGAGAGGAAAGCGGAAUUCCCAGUGUAGCGGUGAAAUGCGUAGAUAUUGGGAGGAACACCAGUGGCGAAGGCGGCUUUCUGGACGACAACUGACGCUGAGACGCGAAAGUGUGGGGAGCAA
rnacentral:rRNA from 1 species